UUGAAGCUGAUUCGUGCUUUAUUUAAAGCAGACAGUAGGCAGCAAACAAGGAAGAGUUUGCAAACUACAUCUCGAAGGACGUUUUGUUUGUGUGUUGUCGUUUCUUGUGUUCCAUCUGGGAGGCUCUGUUGAUGUGUAUGGCUACCUGUAAGAGAGCACUGAUGAAGAAUGGAGAAGAUGUAAAAUAGAGCUCGCCAAAGGUUUUAAAAAUAAAUCAAGAAAUGAGUGAAUGAAGGCAGAAGCGCCCAGAAAGAAGGUCAGGACCCCAGUGGAUGCCAGAAACUGCAGAUACUGUCGGAUCCUACUUAUUCCUGCUCCUGAAUGUGCACAAUCAUCCCUUACUUCAAAUAUUACAGAUACAUCUUUCUGAUUGAACACUGACUGAUAAAGAAGUGAUAUUUGAGGACAGUUCCUACAAAGAAUUCUCGUAUUAUAAUGAAUGUUACUUAGAUGUCAACAUCACCUGCAAGAGAACACACAUAUUAUUUUUCAGAGGUGCAAUGUUUGCAACUACAGAAACAGUGUCUAGGUAACAACUGAAAAUCCAUGUGCUCUUCCGUCCUUCUCUACCCAUGUCACGAGCAAAUCCUGAGCACGCUAUAAAAUUUAGAGGAAAGCAUGGACGUGAGGACUGAGAAAUGGAAACAAUGAGGAGCUCUGAGGAGUCCAGUGUCUGCCUUGCCAACGUGGGUGUGUAAUAUUUGAAGUAUGGAGAUGAGGACAACACAACGUAGUAUACUUUGCUGCUAUGUUUUGUUUGUUUGUUUGCUUGCUUGGUUUUUUUCCAUUUAGUUUAUUGGUACAUUUUAGCUAUACAAUACGGUUACAUUCAUCAUUGGGAUCUUGUAUCUUUACGUGGUGCAUCUUGGUUCUUAUUUUUUUCCCCAUUCCCCUGACCUCCUUUCACCCCCGCUACCCUUCCCUAUUUACAAAGACUUUGUUUCCAUGUUUUUCCUUUUCUCGUAUUUUUUCCUUUCCCUUCUUUCCUUUCCCCUUCCCCUCCCACUUCCCCUAUUCCUUUAGAUAUUUUCUUCCUAUUUCACUUGUUUUAACUAUAGAAGUUGGUUUCAGUAACUUAGGCCUCCAGUGUUGAAAAAGAAUGGGAGCAUGACUGAGGCCAAACCAGUGUCAUAUUAAUGUGAUUGGACAGAAACUCGCAGGCUGCCCAGAUAUUCUCAGCAAUUCAUCUCUCCUUUCCUCCAAGUAUCUGCCUGGACAGGUUAGGAUCCUAGAGGCCCUCCUCAUCUCAGUGCUGUUGCUUUAUAAGAGCUUAAAGGGAAUUCAUGAUGAGAGGAGCUUCCUGUUGUAUUAGAAAUAAAUAGAAGUGCUUGGUAGUCUUCAUUUUUUUCUGGAAAUCCAUGUACAGAGUCUCUUUUUCCUCUUCUAACUUCUUGUGUUCAUCUAGAGGGACACCACCGAGGGCCUUCAUCCAUCCUGUUACAGAUUAUAGACUGGGAAGCAGAUUUCCAAGGCACAAAUUUAAUUUACAAUAACUAGACACUGGACACAAACAACUAUUAGCAAAAGGCACAAAGGAACAACAUACCCCAUCUGAUGUGGAAUCAUUGGAACACAGAAAAAUAAUUUGAAAUAAACACAGUAAAUGUACUGAAAGAUAAAGGAAGAUGCCUUAACUCUUUUCUAUGAAAAAAGGAUAUAAAGAAAUAUGAACAAAGAACAGGAAAUCACAAAAAGAACCAUAGAAAUACAGGAAUGAAAAAUGAUAGAAAUAAAGAGCACAAUAGUUAGAAUAAACAAUAGGACAUAUGGAGAUUAAAAGAAGAUGAGAUUGAUGAAUUUUGGCAGGAAGCUGGAGAGAAAGAUUAUGAGAUUGAAAAUAUAAGAAGAGCUUCAAUGGACAGAUAUAAAAAUACCAGUAUCUGAGUAAAAGAAAUCCCAGAAAGAGGAAGAAAAUAGAAAACUGCCAAAGAAAUAAUUAAGAUAAAUUUUCUAGAAUUAGAAAAAGUGCUGAAAUGGAUCAAAUUUGAAAAGAUUAGGACAAGGAAACAACACAAAUAAGGACAACAUCACAUCUAGAUAAAGUGAAAUUUAAGGACAAAAAAGGUGAAACUAAAACUUUCAAAGAGAGAUCACCUACCAAGAAACUACACUGACCUUGUGUUGUUUUUUUUUACAAUAGUGGAAUCUAAAGGCCAAAAGUGUACAGGUUCUAAAUUUGUGAGAAAAAAAAACCCUAAAGGUGUAUAUUUACCCAAAUCUUCAUUUAAAUAUGAGGACAUACACAAAAUAUUGUGAGCCAUACUGGCCCUGCUUUUCUGUUACCCAAGCCACACACUAGAAAUAUACUUGAAAGAUCUCACUGAGUAAAAUAAAAAUUCAGAAGGAUCCUGUAAGUGAUAUAAAAAUGAAAGAAAUCAAAUAACUUGAUCAAAUUUAUUUUCUUAAAACAAGCUUGAGUAUAUGGAAAUUAUAUUCAUAACUCAAAC
ensembl:lncRNA